GUCUACGGCCAAGCCUCCCUGAACAAGCUCAAUGUCUGAUCUCGGAAGCUAAGCAGGGUUGGGCCUGGUUAGUACUUGGAUGGGAGACCACCUAGGAAGACCAGGUGCUAUAGGCG
rfam:Pteropus alecto contig21613, whole genome shotgun sequence.